rnacentral:rRNA from 1 species
UGACGAGUUUGAUCCUGGCUCAGAUUGAACGCUGGCGGCAUGCCUUACACAUGCAAGUCGAACGGCAGCACGGGUGCUUGCACCUGGUGGCGAGUGGCGAACGGGUGAGUAAUACAUCGGAACGUACCUUAUCGUGGGGAUAACGCAGCGAAAGCUGUGCUAAUACCGCAUACGCCCUGAGGGGAAAGCGGGGAUCGAAAGACCUCGCGCGAUUAGAGCGGCCGAUGCCUGAUUAGCUUGUUGGUGGGGUAAAGCCACCAAGGCGACGAUCAGUAGCUGGUCUGAGAGGACGACCAGCCACACUGGAACUGAGACAC